GCCAAAACAGAGGGAGAGAUGAGAAGAAGUAAACGCGUGAGACAGCCAUCUAAGAGAAUGUUGUUGUAUUCUCAGGACACAGAUUCAGAUUCACGUCUACCGAAGAGUUAAGGAAAACGUCCUGCCAGAAAGAUCCAGAAAGUUGAUACAUUAGCAACAAUAACUAAGGGGACACUGGAACGCCAUAGCACGUCUGACGAUGAGAUGACUCUAUCGGUGCUGGAUAGGAUGACCCUCUACAGUCAGCAGCAGUAUCAACAAGAUGUGUUUUCCUUUUAUGCAGAGACACUAGAAGAUGUCAAUAAAUCUUUCAGACAUGCUGCAUACAGACAAUUUACCAUCUUAAUGCAUGGGAAACUGACUGCUGGAGACAGAAUAACUGUCCCAGCAUGUUGUGUUAAAUUAAUAAGGGAGAAUUUUCCUAGUCCUUAAGGCCAGUAUACAGGCUUCGU